rnacentral:rRNA from 1 species
AACGAACGCUGGCGGCAUGCCUAACACAUGCAAGUCGAACGAGACCUUCGGGUCUUGUGGCGCACGGGUGCGUAACGCGUGGGAACCUGCCCUUAGGUUCGGAAUAACUCCCCGAAAGGGGUGCUAAUACCGGAUAAUGUCUUCGGACCAAAGAUUUAUCGCCUUUGGAUGGGCCCGCGUUGGAUUAGCUAGUUGGUAGGGUAAAAGCCUACCAAGGCGACGAUCCAUAGCUGGUCUGAGAGGAUGACCAGCCACACUGGGACUGAGACACGGCCCAGACUCCUACGCGAGGCAGCAGUGGGUAAUAUUGGACAAUGGGCGAAAGCCUGAUCCAGCAAUGCCGCGUGAGUGAUGAAGGCCUUAGGGUUGUAAAGCUCUUUUACCCGGGAUGAUAAUGACGGUACCGGGAGAAUAAGCUCCGGCUAACUACGUG